rnacentral:rRNA from 1 species
AUCUUCCGCAAUGGACGAAAGUCUGACGGAGCAACGCCGCGUGAGUGAUGAAGGUUUUCGGAUCGUAAAGCUCUGUUGUUAGGGAAGAACAAGUGCCGUUCAAAUAGGGCGGCACCUUGACGGUACCUAACCAGAAAGCCACGGCUAACUACGUGCCAGCAGCCGCGGUAAUACGUAGGUGGCAAGCGUUGUCCGGAAUUAUUGGGCGUAAAGGGCUCGCAGGCGGUUUCUUAAGUCUGAUGUGAAAGCCCCCGGCUCAACCGGGGAGGGUCAUUGGAAACUGGGGAACUUGAGUGCAGAAGAGGAGAGUGGAAUUCCACGUGUAGCGGUGAAAUGCGUAGAGAUGUGGAGGAACACCAGUGGCGAAGGCGACUCUCUGGUCUGUAACUGACACUGAGAGACGAAAGCUAGGGGAGCAAAUGG